GUGACGUUGGCGUGCAGGUCGAGCGCCACGGCAAUCGGCGUGCCGGGCGCUGCCGCGCGCACGCGUUCGAGCAGGUCGCCUUCGCCGUCGUCGCU
rnacentral:tRNA from 1 species